AUUGAACGCUGGCGGCAGGCCUAACACAUGCAAGUCGAACGGUAGCACAGAGAGCUUGCUCUCGGGUGACGAGUGGCGGACGGGUGAGUAAUGUCUGGGAAACUGCCCGAUGGAGGGGGAUAACUACUGGAAACGGUAGCUAAUACCGCAUAACGUCUUCGGACCAAAGUGGGGGACCUUCGGGCCUCACACCAUCGGAUGUGCCCAGAUGGGAUUAGCUAGUAGGUGGGGUAAUGGCUCACCUAGGCGACGAUCCCUAGCUGGUCUGAGAGGAUGACCAGCCACACUGGAACUGGGACACGGUCCAGACUCCUACGGGAGGCAGCAGUGGGGAAUAUUGCACAAUGGGCGCAAGCCUGAUGCAGCCAUGCCGCGUGUAUGAAGAAGGCCUUCGGGUUGUAAAGUACUUUCAGCGGGGAGGAAGGCGAUGAGGUUAAUAACCGCAUCGAUUGACGUUACCCGCAGAAGAAGCACCGGCUAACUCCGUGCCAGCCGCCGCUGUAAUAC
rnacentral:rRNA from 1 species